GAUGAAGAACGUAGCGAAAUGCGAUAAGUAGUGUGAAUUGCAGAAUUCAGUGAAUCAUCGAAUCUUUGAACGCACAUUGCGCCCUUUGGUAUUCCAAAGGGCAUGCCUGUUCGAGCGUCAUUUGUACCCUCAAGCUUUGCUUGGUGUUGGGCGUCUUGUCUCCAGUUCGCUGGAGACUCGCCUUAAAGUAAUUGGCAGCCGGCCUACUGGUUUCGGAGCGCAGCACAAGUCGCACUCUCUAUCAGCAAAGGUCUAGCAUCCAUUAAGCCUUUUUUUCAACUUUUGACCUCGGAUCAGGUAGGGAUACCCGCUGAACUUAAGCAUAUCAAUAAGCGGAGGA
rnacentral:misc_RNA from 1 species